GACAGAGGGUGCAAACGUUGUUCGGAAUUACUGGGCGUAAAGCGUGUGUAGGCGGUCUCAUAAGUCGGGUGUGAAAGCCCCGGGCUCAACCCGGGAAGUGCACUCGAAACUGGAAGGCUAGAGUGCCGGAGGGGAGAGUGGAAUUCCUGGUGUAGCGGUGAAAUGCGUAGAUAUCAGGAGGAAUACCGGUGGCGAAAGCGACUCUCUGGACGGUAACUGACGCUGAGGCACGAAAGCGUGGGGAGCAAACAGG
rnacentral:rRNA from 1 species